AGGGAAUAUUGCACAAUGGGGGAAACCCUGAUGCAGCGACGCCGCGUGAGUGAUGAAGGACUUCGGUUUGUAAAGCUCUGUUGUCUGGGAAUAAAUAAAUGAAUGUACCAGACGAGAAAGGGACGGCUAACUUCGUGCCAGCAGCCGCGGUAAUACGAAGGUCCCAAGCGUUGCUCGGAAUCAUUGGGCGUAAAGCGGGCGCGGGUGGCUUCCUAAGUCAGGAGUGAAAGCCCAGGGCUUAACCCUGGAAGUGCUUUUGAUACUGGGAAGCUUGAGUGUGGGAGAGGGUGCUAGAAUACCUAGUGUAGUGGUGAAAUACGUAGAUAUUAGGUGGAACACCGGUGGCGAAGGCGGGUGCCUGGCCCAACACUGACACUUAGGCCCGAAAGCGUGGGGAUCAAAC
rnacentral:rRNA from 1 species